rnacentral:misc_RNA from 1 species
GAUGAAGAACGUAGCGAAAUGCGAUAAGUAAUGUGAAUUGCAGAAUUCAGUGAAUCAUCGAAUCUUUGAACGCACAUUGCGCCCCUUGGUAUUCCGAGGGGCAUGCCUGUUCGAGCGUCAUUAUAACCCCUCAAGCUCAGCUUGGUGUUGGGGCCUGCUGCACUGGCAGCCCUUAAAAUCAGUGGCGGCGCCAUCUGGCUCUAAGCGUAGUAAUUCUUCUCGCUAUGGAGUCCUGGUGGAUGCUUGCCACCAACCCCCAAUUUUUCUAUGGUUGACCUCGGAUCAGGUAGGGAUACCCGCUGAACUUAAGCAUAUCAAUAAGCGGAGGA